AUAGUUUGAUGCUGGCUCAGAACGAACGCUGGCGGCGUGCUUAACACAUGCAAGUCGAACGAGAAAGCUUCCUUCGGGAAGUGAGUAGAGUGGCGCACGGGUGAGUAACGCGUAGGUAAUCUACCCCAAUAUCUGGGAUAACAGACCGAAAGGUUUGCUAAUACCGGAUACCCUUUAUUUGUCGCGAGAUAUAUAAAGGAAAGGUGACCUCUGAUCAAGUUACCGUAUAGGGAUGAGCCUGCGUACCAUUAGCUUGUUGGUGGGGUAAUGGCCUACCAAGGCUACGAUGGUUAGCGGGUCUGAGAGGAUGAUCCGCCACACUGGAACUGGAACACGGACCAGACUCCUACGGGAGGCAGCAGUGAGGAAUAUUGCGCAAUGGGGGCAACCCUGACGCAGCGACGCCGCGUGGGUGAGGAAGGUUUUCGGAUCGUAAAGCCCUGUCAGGUGGGAAGAAGUGUUAUACGGUUAAUACCCGUAUAAUUUGACGGUACCACCAGAGGAAGCACCGGCUAACUCCGUGCCAGCAGCCGCGGUAAUACGGAGGGUGCGAGCGUUGUUCGGAAUUACUGGGCGUAAAGGGCGCGUAGGCGGCCUGAUAAGUCAGAUGUGAAAGCCCACGGCUCAACCGUGGAAGUGCAUCUGAAACUGUCUGGCUUGAGUAUUGGAUGGGAAAGUGGAAUUCCAGGUGUAGAGGUGAAAUUCGUAGAUAUCUGGAGGAACACCGGUGGCGAAGGCGACUUUCUGGACAAAUACUGACGCUGAGGCGCGAAAGCGUGGGGAGCAAAC
rnacentral:rRNA from 1 species